GACGAACGCUGGCGGCGUGCUUAACACAUGCAAGUCGAACGGAAAGGCCCUGCUUUUGUGGGGUGCUCGAGUGGCGAACGGGUGAGUAACACGUGAGUAACCUGCCCUUGACUUUGGGAUAACUUCAGGAAACUGGGGCUAAUACCGGAUAGGAGCUCCUGCUGCAUGGUGGGGGUUGGAAAGUUUCGGCGGUUGGGGAUGGACUCGCGGCUUAUCAGCUUGUUGGUGGGGUAGUGGCUUACCAAGGCUUUGACGGGUAGCCGGCCUGAGAGGGUGACCGGCCACAGUGCCACUCUCUUACCCUCCACAACGCUCUGCCGGGCAGCAGUGUGGACCAUUCUCCAAUCGGCCGCAGCCUGCUGCCGCAACGCCGCCUGGGCGAUCACGGCCUCCGGGUUGUAGUCCGGUUUUCGCUUUGCCGAAGCGUGAGUGACGGUAAUGGGUAAAGAAGCACCGGCUAACUACGUG
rnacentral:rRNA from 1 species